rnacentral:misc_RNA from 1 species
GGAAGUAAAAGUCGUAACAAGGUUUCCGUAGGUGAACCUGCGGAAGGAUCAUUACAGUGUUAGGCUUCGGCCUCAUUCACACCCCUUGUUGAACCUCUGGUUUCUUUGGCGAUGUCAUGGACUCGUCAAACUUUAACUCUGGGAAUGCGAUACUGUCCGAGUGCCAUUGAAUGAUUAAAACUUUCAACAACGGAUCUCUUGGUUCCAGCAUCGAUGAAGAACGCAGCGAAAUGCGAUAAAUAAUGUGAAUUGCAGAAUUCCGUGAAUCAUCGAGUCUUUGAACGCACAUUGCACUCCUUGGUAUUCCGAGGAGUACGCCUGUUCGAGCGUCAUUACACUCUCAAGCGCUGCUUGGAUUUGAAUCACUGCCGUGGCAGGAUUCCAAUAUCGUUGGCAAUUGACCAUCUGUGAUGACUCACGCCGAGUUAAUUCGCCGGAACACUUCCUUUCAGUUGACCUCGGAUCAGGCGGGGAUACCCGCUGAACUUAAGCAUAUCAAUAAGCGGAGGAAAAGAAACCAACCGGGAUUGCCUCAGUAACGGCGAGUGAAGCGGCAACAGCUCAGAUUUGAAAGCCGAGUCCUGGACUUUGCAUUGUAAUCUGAAGAGGAAAUCUCGCGAACGAUGAGUCUCAAGUCUCCUGGAACGGAGCGUCAUGGAGGGUGAGAAUCCCGUGGAGAUGAAAUCCGACGCAUGUGAGAUUCCUUCGACGAGUCGAGUUGUUUGGGAAUGCAGCUCUAAUUGGGAGGUAAAUUCCUUCUAAAGCUAAAUAUCGGCUGGAGACCGAUAGCGCACAAGUAGAGUGAUCGAAAGAUGAAAAGCACUUUGAAAAGAGAGUCAAACAGCACGUGAAAUUGUUGAAAGGGAAGCGCUGUCCAUCAGACUUGUUGAUCAGGAUCACCUACCGUUCUCGGUGGGGCACUCUUGGUUGGACAGGCCCGCAUCGGUUGGAGCGGUCGGAGAAAGGCCAUGGGAAUGUAGCUCUUCGCGAGUGUUAUAGCCCGUGGUGUAAUACGGCCAGCUUCGACCGAGGUCUGCGCUUCGGCUCGGAUGCGGGCGUAAUGGUGGUCAGCGGCCCGUCUUGAAACACGGACCAAGGAGUCUAACAUCUACGCGAGUGUUUGGGCGUCAAACCCCGACGCGCAAUGAAAGUGAACGGAGGCGAGAGCUUCGGCGCACCGCCGACCGAUCCGGAUGUAUUCGGAUGGAUUUGAGUAUGAGCGUAGCUGUUGGGACCCGAAAGAUGGUGAACUAUGCCUGAAUAGGGUGAAGCCAGAGGAAACUCUGGUGGAGGCUCGCAGCGGUUCUGACGUGCAAAUCGAUCGUCAAAUUUGGGUAUAGGGGUAAGUCAAUCGUCCCGAGCACUCAGGGUGCUUCCAGACCGAUUGCUAACAGACAUGCAGGCGAAAGACUAAUCGAACCAUCACCGAGUGCCAUGGGUGUGCUACUAGGUGGUUAAGAGAGAUGCUCUAGUCCUGGCUGCAGGGCGACGUCGUCAAAUUGCGGGAACCCUCUGAAGCUUCAAUCACCGCGGCCGACCGAAAGGAAGGUGCAGCACCAGUCGUAAUGGACUGGGGAUGGUAACAGCAUUGAAGAUUGAGCGAUCCGCAGCCAACCCCGUUCCAUGGGG